AUGAACACGCAAGGGUUAAUGUCGUUGACAGCUGAGGGUUAAGAAUUUGCCUAAGAACCGAACUGUCAUUUUUUUCCAUCUCGUGGAAAUUGUUCGAGUCGUUGUGUGUAAAAGCAACGAAACGAAUUGCUGAUUUCAAAAUGAAUUUGCGCUUUUUGCCCGAACCUGAACCCACAGAAGGUAUCCAGUUACGACGGGGCUGCUAGCCAACGAAAAUAUUUUCGCACAUCAGGAGCUGCGAGACGGUUCUCAGGUUGACACCGAUGUCAUGCCGAUGACCGCUUCCGACCAAUGAUGGAUUUAAUCAUUCCGGCAGCUAGUUAAGUUCCAGAAUCAUUUCCAAGCCGAAACGGGACCGGUCUCAUAAAACAUGCAGGGUUGUUACGGAAGAGUCGAAAAAAAAUCCGCGCCAAAUCCGCGCCGACCUUAAACCCGAAACCGCGCGAAAUCCGCGCCAUAUAAAAAUAUCGCGACCAACAUUAGGAAAUUUUAUUUUUAAUUAAGAAAAAUUAAAUCAGAAAGUAUUUGAUAAAAGAAUUUAAGAAUUUAAGA